rnacentral:rRNA from 1 species
CAUGGCUCAGGACGAACGCUGGCGGCGUGCUUAACACAUGCAAGUCGAACGGAAAGGCCCUUCGGGGUACUCGAGUGGCGAACGGGUGAGUAACACGUGGGUGAUCUGCCCUGCACUUUGGGAUAAGCCUGGGAAACUGGGUCUAAUACCGAAUAUGAUCAUCGGCUUCAUGGUCGGUGGUGGAAAGCUUUUGCGGUGUGGGAUGGGCCCGCGGCCUAUCAGCUUGUUGGUGGGGUAAUGGCCUACCAAGGCGACGACGGGUAGCCGGCCUGAGAGGGUGACCGGCCACACUGGGACUGAGAUACGGCCCAGACUCCUACGGGAGGCAGCAGUGGGGAAUAUUGCACAAUGGGCGCAAGCCUGAUGCAGCGACGCCGCGUGAGGGAUGACGGCCUUCGGGUUGUAAACCUCUUUCAGCACAGACGAAGCGCAAGUGACGGUAUG